rnacentral:rRNA from 1 species
UACGUAGGGGCCUAGCGUUGUCCGGAAUCAUUGGGCGUAAAGAGCUCGUAGGCGGUUCGGCAAGUCACGUGUGAAAUCUCCACGCUUAACGUGGAGGCGCCACGUGAAACUGCCGUGACUCGAGUCCGGUAGGGGAGUGUGGAAUUCCCGGUGUAGCGGUGAAAUGCGCAGAGAUCCGGAGGAACACCGACGGCGCAGGCAGCGUCC